UACGUGCGAAGCGCCGAAGCCGCGAGGCGACGGCGUUCUCGCCGGAUGUAGGAACCGACCCGGGGACCGCCGGGGCAACCCGGCGCCCCCGAGACGGGGCGAACCACGGUGAAAUGACGGAUCGUCGGCCCCGCGCCGGCGACUCGCCGAAUGAGUUUCUGACCUAUCAACUCGAGACGGCGGGGUAGAGGCCCGCCGCGGUAACGACGGGUAACGGGGAAUCAGGGUUCGAUUCCGGAGAGGGAGCCCCGAGAAACGGCUACCACUUCCAAGGAAGGCAGCAGGCGCGCAACUUACCCUAAUCUCGAUUCGAGGAGGUAGUGACAAGAAAUACCGAUGCGGGACCCUACGGGUGCCGCGUUCGGAAUGAGUACGAUUCGAACCACCUAACGAGGAACGAUCGGAGGGCAAGUCUGGUGCCAGCAGCCGCGGUAAUUCCAGCUCCAAUAGCGUA
rnacentral:rRNA from 1 species